AUCCGCCGUCACGCGCACCGCGCUCCUCCGCGCCCACCGGGGCUUUCGCGCGGUCAGCCGCGGCCGCUGAGAACGACGGCUUGUACCGUUUGUCCCGCGACGUUGUCUUCAGACAGCCGUAGGUUCGAGUUGCCCCUGAUUCGAAGGUGCUGCUUCUGGAAGGCACAGUGUGUGUCCCUGUUCUGUUUAUGGCGGAACCUGAUUCAAGGAGGGUGGAAACAAGGCCACUUUUCAUCGGUGAUCUUCUUUGAAAUUCUGACCCUGGGACGACAGGCAGCUCCCACCUAGGACCGGUUAAGAUGUGAGAACGGGAAGCUUGGCGGUAGCGUGGCUUUCAUCAGUCUUCCAUCUGGAAUACCUGCUGGAGUCACUCUCUCAAGGCACAGCUGGACAGUGAGUUCCCAUCCAUGGAUUCUGCAUUGCAGUCUAAUGUGAUGAGCACUGUCAUGGGAUGGAGGCCAGAGUUCCGACGUGAAAAUGACACUGCUGUAAACCCUCUGAUCCUGUCACCUCCAACACUGUGCGUGUGGCCUCAACAGAGAUGAAAUGACCAACAGCUAUCCUCGCAUUACGUUCACUUUGUUAGUCUCAGGAAAAACCCAUCCCAACCAGAUUAAAGCAAUGAGAGAGGAUGGCUUAAAAUAGCUAAGCCUUUGCAUAACUAAUCCUCAAGUCAACGAAAAAGAUUAGUGAAGAUCUACCGCCCGACCUUCAAACAAACAUUUUGGAGUUGUCCAAACCGUACAAAUUAUUGAGCCCCGCAGCCGGUUCCUGGCUCAGCCCCAGCCCACAGCAGCCUGCCUCCUCUUUCCUUUGGACAGCACAGAUGCUGCUGUGUCCUUUGCCAAGGACUUCCUGGCAGGUGCAGUGGCCGCAGCCGCCUCCAAGACGGCAGUAGCACCCAUCAAGUGGGUCAAGCUGCUGCUGCGGGUGCAGCAUGCCAGCAAGCAAGCAGAUCACUGCAGAUCAGCAAUUGAGGGCAUUCUGAACAGCGUGGUCCAUAUUCCCAAGGAGCAGGGAGUCCUGUCCUGGCACAGUAACCUGACCAAUGUCAUCAGAUACUUCCUCACCCAGGCUCUUAACUUCGCCUUCAGAUAUAAACACAAGCAUGUCUUCCUGGGUGAUGUAAACAAGAGGACCCAAUUUUGCACUACUUUGCAGGGAGUCUGGCAUCAGGUGGUGCCACUGGGGCCACAUCCUUGUGUUAUGUGACCCUCUUGAUUUUGUCCGUACCCACCUAGCAGCCGAUGUGUGUAAAGCUGGAGCUGAAAGAGAAUUCCCAGCCCUCAGAGACUGCCUGGUUAACAGCUACAGAUCUGGUGGGAUUAAGGGUGUGUGCCAAGGCUCUGUUGUGUCUGUGCAGGGCAUUACCAUCUACCAAGCUGCCUACUUGGGUAUCUAUGACACUGCAGAGGGAAUACUUCUGGAUCCCUAGAACACUCACACUGUCAUCUCAUGUGACCGCACCAUCACUGCCAUUGCUGGGUUGACUCCUAUCCAUCUGACACCAUUCACCGCCACAUGAUGAUGCAGUCAGGGCGCAAAGGAACUGACAUAAUGUACAUGGGCAUGCAUGACUGCUGGAGGAAGACUGCUGACAUCAUGUACACGGGCACUUGGGAAUACUGGGGGAGGACUGCUAACAUGUACACGGGCAUGCUUGACGGCUGGAGGAAGACUCUGACAUCAUGUACAGGGGCACACAUGACUGCUGGAGGAAGACUCUGACAUCA